UGGGGAAUAUUGGACAAUGGGGGCAACCCUGAUCCAGCAAUGCCGCGUGUGUGAAGAAGGUCUUCGGAUUGUAAAGCACUUUCGACGGGGACGAUGAUGACGGUACCCGUAGAAGAAGCCCGGCUAACUUCGUGCCAGCAGCCGCGGUAAUACGAAGGGGGCUAGCGUUGCUCGGAAUGACUGGGCGUAAAGGGCGUGUAGGCGGUUUACACAGUCAGAUGUGAAAU
rnacentral:rRNA from 1 species